rnacentral:lncRNA from 1 species
UUUCUAAAUGUUGACUAAGACUUUAGAAUAUUUGAAUCCUUGUCCUUUUAUCCUAACCUUUUAUUUUGACUAAGGGAAAAAUGAGAUCUUGGUCAAUUCUCUUUUGGCACUGAAAUGAAAUGGCCAAUAUCCUAGAUCUUAAAAACUUUGAUAACAAAGAUUUUUAUUUUAUAUUUAUUUUAUUUUAUUGAGAAAGUUUAGUUCCUUAAAUGCCUUCAUGUCUCUAUGUCCAGCAAACAAAAAG